GCUACGGGCGGCAGCAGUGAGGAAUAUUGGUCAAUGGGCGCGAGCCUGAACCAGCCAAGUAGCGUGAAGGAUGACUGCCCUACGGGUUGUAAACUUCUUUUAUAAAAGAAUAAAGUGAGGCACGUGUGCCUUUUUGUAUGUACUUUAUGCAUAAGGAUCGGCUAACUCCGUGCCAGCAGCCGCGGUACUCCGGAGGAUCCGAGCGUUAUCCGGAUUUAUUGGGUUUAAAGGGAGAGUAGAUGGGUUGUUAAGUCAGUUGUGAAAGUUUGCGGCUCAACCGUUAAAUUGCAAUUGAAACUGGCAGCCUUGAGUACAGGUGAGGUAGGCGGAAUUCGUGGUGUAGCGGUGAAAUGCUGAGAUAUCACGAAGAACUCCGAUUGCGAAGGCAGCUUACUAAACUGCCACUGACAUUGAUGCUCGAAAGUGUGGGUAUCAAACAGGAUUAGAUACCCCUGUAGUC
rnacentral:rRNA from 1 species